rfam:Myotis brandtii contig269042, whole genome shotgun sequence.
GGCGGUUCUCAGGUGAUGCACCCAGGAACCUCUCAGGUUCUGGGUGGAUCACCUGAGAUCCACA